rnacentral:rRNA from 1 species
CAGUCGCCGCGGGAAUACAGAGGGUGCGAGCGUUAAUCGGAUUUACUGGGCGUAAAGCGUGCGUAGGCGGCUUCUUAAGUCGGAUGUGAAAUCCCUGAGCUUAACUUAGGAAUUGCAUUCGAUACUGGGAAGCUAGAGUAUGGGAGAGGAUGGUAGAAUUCCAGGUGUAGCGGUGAAAUGCGUAGAGAUCUGGAGGAAUACCGAUGGCGAAGGCAGCCAUCUGGCCUAAUACUGACGCUGAGGUACGAAAGCAUGGGGAGCAAACAGGAUUAGAUACCCGUGUAGUCCCUGUCUCAUACAC